ACAGCAGCAGCCGCGGUAAUAUGGAGGGUGCAAGCGUUAAUCGGAAUUACUGGGCGUAAAGCGUGCGUAGGCGGUUCGUUAAGUCUGUUGUGAAAGCCCCGGGCUCAACCUGGGAAUGGCAAUGGAUACUGGCGAGCUAGAGUGUGUCAGAGGAUGGUGGAAUUCCCGGUGUAGCGGUGAAAUGCGUAGAGGUCAGGAGGAACAUCAGUGGCGAAGGCAGCCCCCUGGGCCAAUACUGACGCUCAUGCACGAAAGCGUGGGGAGCAAACAGGAUUAGAUACCCCUGUAGUCCCUGUCUCUUAUAC
rnacentral:rRNA from 1 species